ACAAGGGCCCCCAGCUCUGCACACGGGGCUGCCUGGCGGCUGGGCACAGUUAAUGUUUAACUCGCUGUUUUCAUUGGAGGCUAAUAACGCACCAAGGGGAGCAGCUGGGCCGGACGCCUUCACAAUACCCCGACUUUGCCGGGAUGACAGCAGGAGGGUGAGGAUCAGCCAUGAACCUAUGUACCCCGCAGCCUGUGGCCCCACAAGGGAAGGACAGAGCCUGGCCAGAUCGGAGAGAGGGGAGCUCCCCCCGGUCCCAGCGGUGCUGAUGAGACUAGGGACUCCUUGGACAUGGCGAACUCCACCUCCUCCAGGGAGAAGAGGCAGCCCAUCGUGGAGUCAGACGGAGACCCGCUAAACUCCUCCUGGCAAAUGUGGCCCUCGCCAGCCUGGAUCAGGGCAUCCGGCAGGUCCUACCCUGGCAAGAGCGACUUGUCUGACUCUUUCGAUUCCUCCACCCGUGAGCCUCCCCUGCCCGCCCAGCCACCCGUCGGGGACGUCCCCCGCAGCUCAGAGAACCAAGAGGCCUCUCACUUGAAGCCCGUCAGGCGUUUUAUCCCGCCGUCAUGGAAAAACUUUUUCCAAAGAUGGAGGCGAGAGCCCGAGCCGUUCCUGCCGCUGGCCUACGCUGCUGCCCAGAGCUCCCCACCCGUAAGUCCGUUGUUAGAUCGCCGCAGGCCAGCCCGCGAUGGCAGCUCCAGCAGCGGUUUCCAGGAACCCUCCUGGUCCAGCCCCUCUGAGUGUAACCAGGAGACAGAGAUGUCUCCCCCCAAGAGCCAGCAGGGCCAACCCGCCUUGCCGAGCUAUGAGGAGAAGCUGGAGGCCUACAACCUCAAGUACUCCUACAUGAAGUCCUGGCCAGGCCUGCUCCGGCUGAUGGCCGGGCUGGAGCUGCUCUUUGGCGGCAUGGUCUUUGCCUGUGUCUGCGCCUACAUCCAGAAGGACUACCAGUGGUACAACCUGUACGGCGGGAACCUGCUGUCGGACGGCCUCUUCGCGGGGGGCUACGGGUACAAUUAUUACGGCCCCAUGACCCCCUUUGUGCUGGUGGUGGCCAGCCUGGCGUGGCUGGUGACGGUGAUCCUCUUGGGGCUGGGGGUCACCAUGUACUAUAGGACCAUCCUCCUAGACUCCCACUGGUGGCCCCUGACGGAGUUCGCCCUCAACAUCAUCAUGUUCCUCCUCUACAUGGGGGCGGCCAUCGCCUACGUCAACGACGUGAACCGUGGCGGCCUGUGCUACUCCUUGUUCGCCAGCAACCCGCUCCUAGCUGCCUUCUGCCGGGUGGAAGGGGGCCAGGUGGCGGCGAUCGCCUUCCUCUUCAUCACCACCCUGCUCUACCUGGCCGGGGCGCUGGUGUGUCUGAAGAUGUGGAGGCAUGAGAUGGCGAGGAAGCAGCGGGAGGCCUUUGAAGCGCUACACAACCCCGUCCUCCUGCAAGCCAGACCCAAGCGGAUCGUCUUCCAGGAUGAGGUGAUGCCGUCCGGGAGCCUCCCCGGGAAGGUCACCAAACAGCUGGCGUUCUCCGAGAAGGGAGAGGAGUUGGGGGCCUUGAGUUGCUCCAUCCCAACGGGGCACACCCCGAAGCCGCACAUCGUCCCCGACUAUGUUGUGAAAUACCCGGGGAUCUGCUGCCCUGAGGAGAGAGAGAAGUACAAGGCCGUCUUCAACGACCAGUACGGGGAGUACAAGGAGCUCUACCACGAGGUCCAUGCGGCGCUGCAGAAGUUCAAGGAGUUGGACGCCAUGAUGAGCCGGCUGCCGCGUCUCACGCCCAGCAGGAAGGAACAGAGCCGGGUCUCCAACAUCUGGAAGGAGUACAAGAAGAAAAAGAGGGACCCCACCUUCCUGGAGAAACAGGAGCGCUGUGACUACCUGAAGAAGAAGCUCACGCACAUCAAAGCGCAGAUCCAGGAGUACGACCGGACGGCCAAGGAGGGCUCCAUGUACUUCUGAGCCUGGCACUUGCGGGGUGGCACCAUACCGCCCUUGGGCUGGUCCCCAACACCCUGGCCGCCAGCCCUGAUUUACUCUGGGGCUUGCUGAUGUCUGGGAGAUCUCGGCCUGAAAGAGAGCAGGAUACAGGACACUGGGGGGCGCUCAGGGGGGCUCGAACAAUUUUUAUAGUGGGGAUGCUGAGAGCCAUUGAACCAAACUGUAAACCCUGUCUAUAAUGGAAACCAUUCCCAGCCAGGGGGUGCGGCCACACCCCUAGUUCCAGCACCUAUGGGGGUGCUGGUGUCUUGUGGCCUCCUGUGCAUCACACACACACCCCAGCUGGGUCACAUGUGGGUCAGGCACCAUCCCUGCCCCGUGCUGCCCCCUCACCGGCUGGGGCUGGGAACCAGCAGUGCUGAUGUGCACUCUCCAGGUGGGACCGAAGCUGGGGGUGGGAGGAGUGGGGCCUCAGGCGGGGUGGGGAGAGGUGCAUCGCUCCUGCUCACGGGGAUAGGUAACCAGGUGCACCGUGCAUCUGCUCCAGCCAGCAGCAGCCAGACCCAUCCUCCAGGCGGACCCUGGGGAGAAGCUAUGAAACUGGACAAAGCUUCUGGCUGAAGAGAGCUGUUGUGAUGGGAGGAUAAAACGCCCCUGGGCAUGGAUCUGUGCUCACUUCAUGCUGGUGUAAACUUGGGAGUCAUGGCACUGAGGACAGUGGACUUGCACUGGUCAUUGACUUCAGCGGGAGCAGGAUUGGGACCCUGACUCCUGUAACGUGGUCCCUGGCUGGAGCCCUGGGAGCCAGGCCGGAGAUUGCCUCUUACGUGCAUGACUUCAUCGCCACACUCCCUUACUCUGUCUGCAAAGCAACUAUCGGAGGAGGGGGGCAGCAUUCACCUGAAAGCAAAAACUGAGCUUUGGGGGGUGCCUGUAACUGUCUCUAAGGAGCGACGGCUUCCCCAGUGAAUAAAAUACACCUGGCGGCCCGUGUGUGAAAUCCCUGUAGCCAGCAGGAUCUGCCCUGCUCUGCGCCAGAAUUCCCCUGGAGAGGGUCCCCGAAGGGGGGGAUGUGAGGGGAGGGAUGCUAACACACGUGCUCUCCGCUAAAAGCACUGUGGGUCAUAGCAGCAUCACGUGGGAAAUUAGCGGAGCUCUCUGCUCACCAUGCCCUGAGACAUGCCCCCCCCCCCCCCCCCCCCGAGGAUGUGACUCCGUUGCAGCUUCCCCCCAGGGGGAUUUACUACUUUAGUUCAAGCUCAUGAAAGGCUCGUGGCCUUCCUGGGAAGGUCCCAGGUUCGGUUCGUGGGCCGUCCCCAUGUGGUCAUUAGGGAGCAGAGUGAGACGAGUGGGGUGUGUCUCCCCUGCACACUAAGCCCAGGCUCUGAUUCAGGUUUGAGCCUCCCGGCUACACACAUCAGCCCAACUCAGGUCAGCAAACACUCAAGGCCCAGGUCCUUGGACCCUGCUGGGGGAUGGACUGGAGCCUGAGUCCCGCUGUGACUGGGGUCCGAGCCCUGUCAUGUUGCAGUGUGGAUGCAGCUCAAGCCGUUAGCCCAGCUGUGCAACUCGGGUCCAGCAGUUGUAAACCCAGGUUUACAGUGCGGCAUGGACACUCAAGAAUGGGCUUGGAAAAACCUGGGUUUACAAUGCAGUGUAGACAGACCCAUGAUGAGCUACCCUGGUGCAUCUGUGGAUUGUUAGCACUAGUGACCAGCGCUGGAAGCUAGCUGCAGAGGGAGAAUUUCAGAGCACCCUGACUGACAGCCAUCCCGGUGCGGGCAGCUGGUCGGAGCAGCCCUGCUAUUCGCACGUUCACUGCAACACACCCGGCUUUAGGUUCUUUUUCCACUUACAAAGCUGCUUUUUAUUUAAAAAUUGGAAACAACGAGGCGUCCAGGGCUAGUUAAGGCCCCAAUCCUGCCAACAUGCCCCAUGUUUAACUUCAAGCCCUGUGGGCCGUUCAGCUGAGACACCCUCUGACUGCAAAGCCCGGGACCCCACAAACUCACUGCACCCACAGGGAGCAAGACUUAAAGAGGAGUAAAAUCCAAGUGCCGGGCUGGGAUCCUUGCGGCUCGGCAGGACCUCUCGGGCCCGACUGAGUCAGGGAGAGGCAGCUCAACCUUGCCUUGGGGGCUGCUCCCCCCGUCGGUCCAUGUGCAUGACCAAUGGAAGGGGUUAAAGUCAAACCAGCCACGCAGCCGGGCGCUUUGAUCAGAGUCCUGCACACAAGGCGAUUUAUGUCCACGCUGGAACAGGGAGCUGAGGUUUAAGCACUCCAUCUGCUGCUGCCAAGGUUUUGACUCCAGCUGCGCCAGGUUCCUGCAGUUACAAGCCUUCUCUUCGGCCUGGCUGCAGCCAGAGGAGGCUGGUGGGUUGUUUUUAAUGAUUGUGCACCUAGUAAUGAUUAAUCCCUGGGCUGCCAUUUUAAGACGAACAAAGAGGGGAGGAAAACAGAGGGGACCCAGGUAGCUGCUUUUAAAGGAACCAGCCAACCCCCUUCUCAAGGCAGCGGCUCCAGGAACGGUGCCCUGAGCCAGGGGCCCGUCUGCAGGCAGCACCAGGCUGGAAAGCAGCGCGUUUACCAAUAAUACUAAGGCCAGAGACCGGCGCAGCUGGCACUGGAGAUAGCUGCUGCAACCUAAGCUCUGUCGAACUUAAGGGGGCCAGAUUCCCAGCAAGUAUCAAUCAACCUGCAGCCAGGUAGGGGUCUGGCCCCAUUGACCUCAGUGGAGCAGUGGCAAUGGAUGCUAGCUGAGGCCCUGGCCUAGAAAAAUUCUUCGCAAGAGGUCAGAAGGCUGAAUUCACACAGAUCUGCCUCCGAGAGUUCGCCUUCGAUGCAGAACACCGUGAAUCUUCACCAGCUGCUUCCUUCAAAGCUUAAAUCCUUGUUUGUUGUUAAGGGGUUUUUAGAGGGGCCGUUGGGUUUUCUUGUUUAUUUCUAGAGUAACAAAGCUAGGACGAAAAUGAAAACAAGCUUAACUGGCUCCAUUGAAUAAAGCAAGGUGCUUGCUAAACAAAAAUCCUGGGCAAUUCAAAGAACCGGGUUAAAGAAAGAGGUGGAAUUGCAAAAUCUUUGCAGAAAGGGCUUAGGUGUCGGAGUCAACUUCACUGGGUCUGGAAAUUCUCUCUGGGGUCUGGGAUCAAACUGGAACUGCAGCUUUUAGAAGCACUGGGAGCUUUUGUUGUCUUUGAAACUUGAAUCCUGGCCAAAGAAAGGAGGUUUGGCAGCGAGAACACAGCACCAACCUUAUCGCGGGCUCUCUUGGGGAAAGAAAAACAUUGGGGAUUUUUUUUAAAAAGGACUGACUAGAGCACACGCGCGUGUGAGGGGAGCGUACUAUUUGCUAGUGCCGGGACAGACGGGUGGAGACCCACGAGGGGCGUGUAGUGAGCGAACCCUGCCCUGAGCUGCUGUGGGCUUCCCAGCUGCAGGCCUGGGAAAACAGAGCCUUAUUAAUCAGGUGAAAUAAGAGAGGAGGUGGUGUUGGCAGAAACUGUUGCAGCCGGAGUGGAGGCCCCAGCCGAACAUUCCCAUCCUAUCUCCAGCGGUUCAGGACGGCUGGAUUCAGCAGGGAUCAUUGACCCUGCACGUUCCUAGUGAUCCCAAAAUCCA